GACCGCGUAGCUCAGUUGGAAGAGCAUUGGGCUAGUAUUCCAAAGGUCGUAGGUUCGAAUCUCGCCGUGGCCA
rnacentral:tRNA from 1 species